AAUAAGUGCAGUUGUGGGUAUCCGUGUCUAACGUUUGACCGUCCGUUUUAUUUGAAAAGUUUAUGAAAAAAACAAAAAAAAUUAGUACUAUUCAUGUUUUAUCAUCUAAUAACAACAAAAAAUACUAAUAAAAAAUUAAAUAAGACGAACAGUCAAACGUUGUUGAUCAUUGAAUAUAAA
rnacentral:pre_miRNA from 1 species